rnacentral:lncRNA from 1 species
CAAACCUCAUCCAAAAUCCAAAUGUGAUCCAAGAUCCAAACCCCAUCCAAGAUCCCAUCUCAUCCAAAAUCCAAUCUCAUCCAAGAUCCAAACAUCAUCCAAGAUCCAAUCUCAUCCAAGAUCCAAACCUCAUUCAAAAUCCAAACCUCAUCCAAGAUCCAAACACUGUCCAAAAUCCAAACCUCAUCCAAGAUCCAACCUCAUCAAGAUCCAACCAUCAUCCAAGAUCCAAUCUCAUCAAGAUCCAAACAUCAUCUAAAAUCCAAACCUCAUCCAAGAUCCAAUCUCAUCCAACAUCCAAUCUCAUUCAAGAUCCAACCAUCAUCCAAGAUCCAAUCUCAUCCAAGGUCCAAUCUCAUCAAGAUCCAAACCUCAUCCAAGAUCCAACCAUCAUCCAAGAUCCAAUCCUCAUCCAAGAUCCAAACCUCAUCCAAGAUCCAAACCUCAUCCAAGAUCCAAACCCCAUCCAAGAUCCAAUCUCAUCCAAGAUCCAACCUCAUCAAGAUCCAACCAUCAUCCAAGAUCCAAUCUCAUCCAAAUCCAAACACUGCCCAAGAUCCAACCAUCACCCAAAAUCCAAACCUCAUCCAAAAUCCAAUCUCAUCCAAAAUCCAAACACUGUCCAAGAUCCAAACCCCAUCCAAAAUCCAAACCUCAUCCAAGAUCCAAUCUCAUUCAAGAUCCAACCAUCAUCCAAGAUCCAAACACUGUCCAAAAUCCAAACCUCAUCCAAG